AGACUAUUGCAGAAGACAAAUUAAAAUUGGGGAUUUCAAUGGAGUUCUGAAAUUGUGGAAGAACAAAGGAAUUCAGGGAAUGGGUGUUGAUCAAAUUCAAGUUGCAGUGACGCUGCAGGGAGUCUUGAGAAGUAAAUGAUGAGAUUAAUGUGCAUUGUUAGAGUGAUGAAUGAAUCAAAAUCCAGAAGAUGGUGGCUGUUUUUAUCAACAUGGGCUCAAUGGCCGUGAACCAUGUUUGAGGAAAUACUUGAGUGCUAGCUGAAGCUGUUAUUGUUGUGAAGCUUGGGUAUGUGUUA